AACGCGAAGAACCUUACCUGGUCUUGACAUCCACGGAAGUUUUCAGAGAUGAGAAUGUGCCUUCGGGAACCGUGAGACAGGUGCUGCAUGGCUGUCGUCAGCUCGUGUUGUGAAAUGCUGGGUUAAGUCCCGCAACGAGCGCAACCCUUAUCCUUUGUUGCCAGCGGUCCGGCCGGGAACUCAAAGGAGACUGCCAGUGAUAAACUGGAGGAAGGUGGGGAUGACGUCAAGUCAUCAUGGCCCUUACGACCAGGGCUACACACGUGCUACAAUGGCGCAUACAAAGAGAAGCGACCUCGCGAGAGCAAGCGGACCUCAUAAAGUGCGUCGUAGUCCGGAUUGGAGUCUGCAACUCGACUCCAUGAAGUCGGAAUCGCUAGUAAUCGUGGAUCAGAAUGCCACGGUGAAUACGUUCCCGGGCCUUGUACACACCG
rnacentral:rRNA from 1 species